CUGCCACAUUAGCAGGAGCAAUUCGUGUUGUUACAGAGGGUGUACGAAGGGGGAAGCUAGGCCUAGCUAGGCCCAGUUGGUCGAUCGAUGACGGUUUUCGUGACGGUACCUCCAAGUCCGUCAUUAAGGGGCUACCCUUUUUGGGCCUAGGCACAUCUUGCUGGUCGGUGACGGUUUCCAUGACGGAUUUACAGAACGUCACCAGAAAUCCAUCACAGAUUAACAGGUUUCUUGUAGUGUAAGGGCCCAGUUCGUAAAUUUCAGGAAAGUCUAACUGGAUCGGACUGCUGCCAUGUCUAGACCGUGUCCACAUCGGUGUCCCUAUGCUAUGGAGUCCUGCUACAUCGUUGUUCCCCUGCCAUGUAGAUGUUGUGCUCGAGGCCCCCUUUAUGUUCACUAAAUAAUGUACAUAUUGUUUAGCGGCACCGAGUGUGCCGCUUGGCCUUGCAACUUGAUGUAAUGUCACGCUAUGCUUCCGCUAGUUUCAAUAAAGCGGUGAUUUAUGUA